GGGGGCGACUGGUUUCGACAUGGUAGGUUUGAACCGAGGAGCAGGUCGUGGUCUCCUCGCCACGUUAAACAGGGGUACCGUCAAUUUAAUUGGCAAAAAGAUUUCUUUCGUGCGUCCUGCUCAGCAGUACGCACUCGCCGCUUAAUUUAAAGCUGGCGCGCCAAGGCAGAGUUCACUUUCCGGCUUUGCUGCGGUGUCAUUUCAGGAAGGUGCUCCCAAGCACGUAAUCGGUAUGGCUUGGGCUAAGACGGAACCGGUUGGGCUGCGCGCCGCACGGCGACGGGUUACGGGCAGUCGAGAUUCUUCCGCCGCAUAAGCUUGUAGAGCCUGGGGGAUUGCUUAGUAUGGACCGGAGUUCGAUUCUCCGCGCCUCCACCA
rnacentral:tmRNA from 1 species